ACCAGACUCCUACGGGAGGCAGCAGUGGGGGAUAUUGCACAAUGGGGGAAACCCUGAUGCAGCAACGCCGCGUGAGUGAAGAAGUAUUUCGGUAUGUAAAGCUCUAUCAGCAGGGAAGAGAAUGACGGUACCUGACUAAGAAGCCCCGGCUAACUACGUGCCAGCAGCCGCGGUAAUACGUAGGGGGCGAGCGUUAUCCGGAUUUACUGGGUGUAAAGGGAGCGUAGACGGCUGGUCAAGUCUGAAGUGAAAGCCCGGGGCUUAACCCCGGAACGGCUUUGGAAACUGAGCAGCUAGAGUGCUGGAGAGGUAAGCGGAAUUCCUAGUGUAGCGGUGAAAUGCGUAGAUAUUAGGAGGAACACCAGUGGCGAAGGCGGCUUACUGGACAGUAACUGACGUUGAGGCUCGAAAGCGUGGGGAGCAAACAGGAUUAGAUACCCUCGUAG
rnacentral:rRNA from 1 species